rnacentral:rRNA from 1 species
UACGGAGGAUGCGAGCGUUAUCCUGCUUUAUUGGGUUUAAAGGGUGCGCAGGCGGCCUGUUAAGUCAGCGGUAAAAGCCCGGGGCUCAACCCCGGCGAGCCGUUGAAACUGGCUUGCUAGAGUGGGCGAGAAGUAUGCGGAAUGCGUGGUGUAGCGGUGAAAUGCAUAGAUAUCACGCAGAACUCCGAUUGCGAAGGCAGCGUACCGGCGCCCAACUGACGCUGAAGCACGAAAGCGUGGGUAUCGAACAGG